rnacentral:tRNA from 3 species
GUUGGGAUAGCUCAGUU